AGCGUUACUAGUCAUAACUGGGUGUAUAAUAUACCUAGGUUGUUUAGAAACUUUUUCUUUAAAUUACCGUUGUCGGUGGUAGAAUUAGAGUCUAAUACUUUUAUUUAUUUAAAGUGAGAGGGGUUGCAAUUGGAUAGUUGAAAUUUUAUGAUAAUUGCAGUACCCUCAUAAGUAAAGCGUCUUGCUAGAUUAAAUAGAAACUGAAGUAUUAAAGUAUAGGUAUCGAACAGGAUUUGAGACCCUGGUAGUCUAUACCCUGAAUUAAGAGCAUUUUUAAAUUUUUUAACUAUUGAUGCUCUACCUGAAAACUAAAGCCGCAAGGGUAAAAUUUAAAAAGAUUGGCGGGGGUUUUUGUAAAUGGUGGAAUAUGUGGUUUAAUUUGAUAAUCCGCGGAAAAUCUUACCAGUGUAGUUUUUCUACUACAAGCAUUAAUUUUUAUAAAAUAUAUCGAGACGUAGGAAGUAUUGGUAUUGCAUGGCUGUCGUCAGUCUGUGAUGUAAGUUUACGGACUCAAUCUUAAGUGUUCGGUACCCCCACAAGUUUUUUUACUUUAAAGUACUGUGGGAAGACCCGUGCACUCAAUUUAUACGUAGUAUAAGUUAAUAUGAGGGGAAGUCAAGUCAUUAUGGUCUAUAUAUGCUGGGCUACACACGUAUUACAAAGGUAAAAACAUUGGGUAAAAAAGCCGCAAGGUUUAUUCUUAAUCCCUAAAAAUUACCCCAGUUCGGAUUUUACUCUGUAACAAGUAAAUGAAGUUGGAAUCAUUAGUAAUCGAAAAUAAACUUGUUUCGAUGAAUAUCUAUUCGACCUUGCACACACCGCCCAUCAUAUCCGAAGAGUAAUUCUUUUUUGACUGAGUUUGCGGAAGACGUAGUUUAUUUAUAAGCAGCGUGUUACCCUCUCAUAUAAAAAGUAGUG
rnacentral:rRNA from 1 species